rnacentral:rRNA from 1 species
GAGUUUGAUCGUGGCUCAGGACGAACGCUGGCGGCGCGCCUAAUACAUGCAAGUCGAACGGGCUGCCUUCGGGCAGCCAGUGGCGGACGGGUGAGUAACACGUGGGUGACCUGCCCCUGGAGUGGGGAAUAACGCUGCGAAAGCAGCGCUAAUACCGCAUCGGCUCAAUUCUUCGCUGAGUUGAGUAAAGCCUGGUGCGCUUCAGGAGGGGCCUGCGGCCGAUUAGCUAGUCGGGGGGGUAACGCCCACCGAGGCGACGAUCGGUAGCUGGUCUGAGAGGAUGAUCAGCCACACUGGGACUGAGACACGGGCCCAGACUCCUACGGGAGGCAGCAGUAAGGAAUCUUCCACAAUGGGGCGCAAGCCUGAUGGGGGCACGCCGCGUGCGCGAAGAAGCCCUUCGGGGUGUAAAGGCGCUUUUCCCAGGGAUGAAGUUCUGACAGUACCUGGGGAAGAAGCCUCGGCUAACUACGUGCCAGCCGCCGCCGUAAC